rnacentral:rRNA from 1 species
UACGUAGGGUGCGAGCGUUACUCGGAAUUACUGGGCGUAAAGCGUGCGCAGGCGGCUCGUUAAGACAGGUGUGAAAGCCCCGAGCUUAACUUGGGAAUUGCGCUUGUGACUGGCGUGCUGGAGUGUGGCAGAGGGAGGUGGAAUUCCACGUGUAGCAGUGAAAUGCGUAGAGAUGUGGAGGAACACCGAUGGCGAAGGCAGCCUCCUGGGCCAGCACUGACGCUCAUGCACGAAAGCGUGGGGAGCAAACAGG